CAAUAGCGUAUAUUAAAGUUGUUGCAGUUAAAAAGCUCGUAGUUGGAUUUCUGUUGGAAGCGAUCUGCCCGCUCUUAGAGUCGGUGCUUGCAUCGUCUUCCGACAUCCUUGGGUGGAGCCAGUCUGGCAUUAAGUUGUCGGGCUGGGGAUGCCCAUCGUUUACUGUGAAUUAAUUAGAGUGUUCAAAGCAGGCUUAUGCCGUUGAAUAUAUUAGCAUGGAAUAAUAAGAUAGGACCUUGGUACUAUUUUGUUGGUUUGCGCACCAAGGUAAUGAUCAAUAGGGACAGUUGGGGGUAUUCGUAUUCAGUUGUCAGAGGUGAAAUUCUUAGAUUUAUUGAAGACGAACUACUGCGAAAGCAUUUACCAAGGAUGUUUUCAUUAAUCAAGAACGAAAGUAUGGGGAUCGAAGACGAUUAGAUACCAU
rnacentral:rRNA from 1 species